AUUGAACGCUGGCGGCAUGCUUUACACAUGCAAGUCGAACGGCAGCGCGGGCUUCGGCCUGGCGGCGAGUGGCGAACGGGUGAGUAAUGCAUCGGAACGUGCCCAGUAGUGGGGGAUAGCCUGGCGAAAGCCGGAUUAAUACCGCAUACGACCUGAGGGUGAAAGCGGGGGACCGAAAGGCCUCGCGCUAUUGGAGCGGCCGAUGUCGGAUUAGCUAGUUGGUGGGGUAAAGGCUUACCAAGGCGACGAUCCGUAGCUGGUCUGAGAGGACGACCAGCCACACUGGGACUGAGACACGGCCCAGACUCCUACGGGAGGCAGCAGUGGGGAAUUUUGGACAAUGGGGGCAACCCUGAUCCAGCCAUGCCGCGUGCGGGAAGAAGGCCUUCGGGUUGUAAACCGCUUUUGUUCGGGAAGAAAUCCUCUGGGCUAAAACCCCGGGGGGAUGACGGUACCGGAAGAAUAAGCACCGGCUAACUACGUG
rnacentral:rRNA from 1 species